UACGUAGGGCGCAAGCGUUUGUCCGGAAUUAUUGGGCGUAAAGAGCUCGUAGGCGGCUUGUCGCGUCGACUGUGAAAACCCGCGGCUCAACCGCGGGCCGUGCAGCCCGAUACGGGCAGGCUAGAGUUCGGUAGGGGAGACUGGAAUUCCUGGUGUAGCGGUGAAAUGCGCAGAUAUCAGGAGGAACACCGAUGGCGAAGGCAGGUCUCUGGGCCGAUACUGACGCUGAGGAGCGAAAGCGUGGGGAGCGAACAGG
rnacentral:rRNA from 1 species